rnacentral:lncRNA from 1 species
CACACCCUAGGGCUCUGUGACCUCUGCCCCAGCCUGGAGAAGCAACUGCUAGUGUUCCCGGGACACAAGUGUGGGAGUCUGCAACUUGUGGACCUGGCGAGCACAAAGCCUGGCACCUCGUCUGCUCCAUUCACGAUCAAUGCACAUCAGAGUGACAUAGCCUGUGUGUCUCUAAACCAGCCAGGCACUGUAGUGGCCUCAGCCUCCCAGAAGGGUACCCUUAUUCGCCUCUUUGACACACAAUCCAAGGAGAAACUGGUGGAGCUGCGCCGAGGCACUGACCCUGCCACCCUCUACUGCAUUAACUUCAGCCACGACUCCUCCUUCCUCUGCGCUUCCAGUGAUAAGGGUACUGUCCAUAUCUUUGCUCUCAAGGAUACCCGCCUCAACCGCCGCUCCGCGUGAGUACCCCCUCCCCACCCUACCGUGUCCCUGUCCCCCUGCCCAUUUACCAUACCUGGGCUUAGCCAGUGCUGCCUGCAGGCUGGCUCGCGUGGGCAAGGUGGGGCCUAUGAUUGGGCAGUACGUGGACUCUCAGUGGAGCCUGGCGAGCUUCACUGUGCCUGCUGAGUCAGCUUGCAUCUGCGCCUUCGGUCGCAAUACUUCCAAGAACGUCAACUCUGUCAUUGGUGAGUGGGAACAGCCCCUUGGUUGGGGGUACUGCAUGGGGCAAAGGCCUGCAGGUUGGACCUGAAAGGAUUUUAGGGCCAUGUGAGGCUCAGCUUCAUCAUCAGUAAGGGGGACAGCACUGGGCAAAGGCCUGGAGGCAGACCCUAGGUCCUGAGAUGCCUGAGAGGACUGGAGCCUGUGGCUGUGGCAGCCUCUGACCUUUUACCACCCCCCCUCCCCCAGCCAUCUGCGUAGAUGGGACCUUCCACAAAUAUGUCUUCACUCCUGAUGGAAACUGCAACAGAGAGGCUUUCGACGUGUACCUUGACAUCUGUGAUGAUGAUGACUUUUAAGGACCCUGGGGGCUGUGCUAGGGACCUGCAGUGGCAGAACUGCAGAGCUGAGCCUUGGCAGUGGGGCGUGCUUGGAAGCCACCAGCCAGCAAGCAUUAAUGGGGCUGGUGCCCACUUUCCACUCAGCAGAGCUA